rnacentral:rRNA from 1 species
AACCUGGUUGAUCUUGCCAGUAGUCAUAUACGCUUGUCUCAAAGAUUAAGUCAUGCUAGUGAAAGGAUAUACGCAUAUAUUUGCAUAUGCAGAAACUGCGAACGGCUCAUUAAAACAGUUAUAAUAUACUGGACAUUUUUUCCCAUAAGGAUGAUUACGGAAAAGCUGUAGCCAAUAUUUGGCAUAGCACUUUUGAUUAACUUCUUAAGUGCGUACUUGUUAAUUCGUCUAAGAAGAAAGUUUUAAUAGCUUUAUGAAUGAUAACAACGAAGUGUGACACGUAAAAAGAUUCGCCCAUUUUUUUAGUGUGUGUCCAUCGAGUUUCUGACCUAUCAGCUUUUGAUGUUAGGGUAUUGGCCUAACAUGGCUAUGACGGGCAACGGGGAAUUAUAGUUCGAUUCCCGAGAGGGAGCUUGAGAAAUAGCUACCACAUCUAAGGAAGGCAGCAUAUAGCAGCAUGGGAGUAAAUUACCCAACUCUAAAGAAGAGAGGUAGUGACAAGAAGUUAACAAUACAAGGCCAAUAUGGCUUUAUAAUUGGAAUGGUGUGCGGGGGGGGUGGUUUUAUCCUUCUCCCAAAACACAAUUGGAGGGCAAGUCUGGUGCCAGCAGCCGCGGUAAUUCCAGCUCCAAUAGCGUAUAUUAAAAUCGUUGCAGUUAUAAUGUUCGUAGUUAAAUUUGAAAGAAUCAACAUUUUAAGCAACGCGUUUAGCUUAAUCCACACGACUGGUGCUUCGUAUCGGUUGGUACUUAGCAUCGACAUUGUGCGCAUUUUGCUACUACGUGUUCUUCUAAUUAAAAUGAUUCUUUUUAGGGGUUUCCUUUGUUUCGGCAUUGAAUCCCUUGUUACCUUGCGAAAAAUAAACUGUUCAAAGGAAACAGUUAUAUUAUAGCAUUGCGCGUUUCGAAUACUACAGCAGGGAAUAACAAAAUUGAACGAGUAAAAACUUGGUUCAUUUUUCUUAUUUUGGCUUAGUUACGAUUAAUUGGAGUAGCAUGGGGGCAUUUGUAUUCAGAUGUCAGAGGUGAAAUUCUUAGAUUUUCUGGAGACAAACAACUGCGAAAGCAUUUGCCUAAAAUACUUCCAUUAAUCAAGAACGAAAGUUAAGGGAGUGAAGACGAUUAGAUGCCGUCGUAAUCUUAACCAUAAACAAUGCCGACUAGACUAGGCUUUAGAUGAAAAGUUUUAAAAUAAGAGUUUUCUCUUCGGAGUUAACCUCUUAGAUUUGCUUCCUUCAGUGCCUUAGGGGAAAUCAAAACCUUUGGGUUCUGGGGAAAGUAUUCGCGCAAGCGAGAAAGUUAAAAAGAAUUGACGGAAGGGCACCACCAGACGUGGAGCUUGCGGCUUAAUUUGACUCAGCACGGGAAAGCUCACUAGUUUAAGACAAGAGUAGGAUUGAAAGAUUGAGAGAGAGCUCUUUCUUGAUUUCUUGGAUGGUGACGCAUGGCCGUUUUCAGUUCGUGAAUAUUUGUCGGGUUAAUCCCGAUGAUGAACGGGACCUUAACCUGCUAAGUAGCGGCAAAUACGAUACAUUCUUAGGUAAGAUUGAACCUGGUUGAUUUGCUCAUUUCGAAGUGCACGCAUGAGGAUCGGGAUUAUGUGACGCGUCAGUUUUUUUCUGCCGAUUUACUGAUGCAGCACAUAUUUCUCGUUCUUUCAUUCGUGCACUUCGAAAUAAGCAAAUCAACCAGGUUCAAUUUUACCUAAGAAUGUGUUUCAUUUGCUUGAUUGUAAAGCUUCUUAGAGGAACAGUGUGUGUGUAACACAAGGAAGAUUAAGGCAACAAAACAGGUCCUGCGAUGUCCUUAGAUGAACUAGGAAGCCCCGUGCUACACGGAUAUGUGCAACGAGUUGUUAGAAGUGUGCAUGUGUUAUUUGUGCUUAUGGAGCCGUUUAGCAUCAUCGCAUGCUUUUCCUCCACUGAAAAGUGUAGGUAAUAUUUAUCAGUACGUAUCGUGAUGAGGAUAUAUUGCAAUUAUCAAUCUCGACCGAGGAACGUCUAGUAAGCGGGAUUCACCAGAUUGCGCUGACUACGUCCCUGCGCUUUGUACACACCGCCCGUCGCUCCUACCGAUUGGAAGAUACGAUGAAUCGUUUGAAUAAGAGAAAAGGGGAUUAUAUAUCUUUUUUUUUCUCUGAAAGAAUCGAAAAUCUUAUCUUUUAAAGGAAGGAGAAUCGACACGUUCAAGUUCACUACGAGUUCCAUAGGUUCAUCUACGGAAGGUCUUUAUGGCGCAACGAAAAAUAUUGGAGCACGUAAGAAAGUGAAAUCGGCUAGCUGUGUAUUUUCGGAAUAUUUGAGGCGAAUAUUUUCGGUAUACUUACUAUCG